AGAAGUAUUAAACAAGUAUUUUAUCUUUUGGAGAUUGUUCCGCACCUCUUGCUCAAGUGUCCGUUUGCGAGAAGCAUCUGGACCACUUUGAAGAUUUGUUUCAAUUUGAGAUUAUGGUCCUACUAAUUUUCAGAACCCGUGGACCUCAUGGAGAAAAAGGAAAUUCACAAAACACUUGGUCGAGCUUGGGAUCAGCUGGUGAUAAACUUGUGUUGGAAUGCGUGGCA
rnacentral:lncRNA from 1 species